rnacentral:rRNA from 1 species
CCUACGGGUGGCAGCAGUGAGGAAUAUUGGUCAAUGGACGCGAGCCUGAACCAGCCAAGUAGCGUGAAGGAUGACUGCCCUAUGGGUUGUAAACUUCUUUUAUAUGGGAAUAAAAUGUUCCACGUGUGGGUUUUUGUAUGUACCUUAUGAAUAAGGAUCGGCUAACUCCGUGCCAGCAGCCGCGGUAAUACGGAGGAUCCGAGCGUUAUCCGGAUUUAUUGGGUUUAAAGGGAGCGUAGGUGGAUUGUUAAGUCAGUUGUGAAAGUUUGCGGCUCAACCGUAAAAUUGCAGUUGAUACUGGCAGCCUUGAGUACAGUUGAGGUAGGCGGAAUUCGUGGUGUAGCGGUGAAAUGCUUAGAUAUCACGAAGAACUCCGAUUGCGAAGGCAGCUUACUAGACUGCAACUGACACUGAGGCUCGAAAGUGUGGGUAUCAAACAGGAUUAGAUACCCGAGUAGUC